AACGAACGCUGGCGGCAUGCCUAACACAUGCAAGUCGAACGAGACCUUCGGGCCUAGUGGCGCACGGGUGCGUAACGCGGGGGAACCUGCCCGUAGGUUCGGAAUAACUCAGAGAAAUUUGAGCUAAUACCGGUUAAUGUCUUCGGACAUAAGAUUUAUCGCCGUUGGAUGGGCGCGCGUAGGAUUCGCUUGUUGGUGGGGUAAUAGCCUACCAAGGCGACGAUCCUUAGCUGGUCGGAGAGGAUGCUCAGCCACACUGGGACUGAGACACGGACCAGACUCCUACGGGAGGCAGCAGUAGGGAAUAUUGGACAAUGGGCGAUAGCCUGAUCAAGCAAUGCCGCGUGAGUGAUGAAGGCCUUAGUGUUGUAAAGCCCUUUUAGCAGGGAUGAUAGUGACAGUAACUGGUGAAUAAGCACCGGCUAACUACGUG
rnacentral:rRNA from 1 species